rnacentral:tRNA from 1 species
GGGUGCAUAGCUCAAUGGUAGAGCACCUGUCUUUUAAACAGUGGGUUUUGAGUUCGAUUCUCAAUGCACCCA